GAUGAACGCUGGCGGCGUGCCUAAUACAUGCAAGUCGAGCGAACAGACGAGGAGCUUGCUCCUCUGACGUUAGCGGCGGACGGGUGAGUAACACGUGGAUAACCUACCUAUAAUACUGGGAUAACUUCGGGAAACCGGAGCUAAUACCGGAUAAUAUAUUGAACCGCAUGGUUCAAUAGUGAAAGACGGUGUUGCUGUCACUUAUAGAUGGAUCCGCGCCGCAUUAGCUAGUUGGUAAGGUAACGGCUUACCAAGGCGACGAUGCGUAGCCGAACUGAGAGGGUGAUCGGCCACACUGGAACUGAGACACGGUCCAGACUCCUACGGGAGGCAGCAGUAGGGAAUCAUCCGCAAUGGGCGAAAGCCUGACGGAGCAACGCCGCGUGAGUGAUGAAGGUCUUCGGAUCGUAAAACUCUGUUAUUAGGGAAGAACAAAUGUGUAAGUAACUAUGCACGUAUUGACGGUACCUAAUAAGAAAGCCACGGCUAACUACGUG
rnacentral:rRNA from 1 species